UCGGGUGCUAGUGGCGGACGGGUGAGUAACGCGUGGGAAUAUGCCCCUCGGUUCGGAAUAGCCUCGGGAAACUGGGAGUAAUACCGGAUACGGUCUACGGACGAAAGAUUUAUCGCCGAGGGAUUAGCCCGCGUUGGAUUAGGUAGUUGGUGGGGUAAUGGCCUACCAAGCCGACGAUCCAUAGCUGGUUUGAGAGGAUGAUCAGCCACACUGGGACUGAGACACGGCCCAGACUCCUACGGGAGGCAGCAGUGGGGAAUCUUAGACAAUGGGCGCAAGCCUGAUCUAGCCAUGCCGCGUGAUCGAUGAAGGCCUUAGGGUUGUAAAGAUCUUUCAGUGGGGAAGAUAAUGACGGUACCCACAGAAUAAGCACCGGCUAACUACGUGCCAGCAGCCGCGGUAAUACGUAGGGUGCAAGCGUUAAUCGGAAUUACUGGGCGUAAAGCGUGCGCAGGCGGUUAUGCAAGACAGAUGUGAAAUCCCCGGGCUCAACCUGGGAACUGCAUUUGUGACUGCAUGGCUAGAGUACGGUAGAGGGGGAUGGAAUUCCGCGUGUAGCAGUGAAAUGCGUAGAUAUGCGGAGGAACACCGA
rnacentral:rRNA from 1 species